UACGUAGGGUGCGAGCGUUGUUCGGAAUUACUGGGCGUAAAGGGCGCGUAGGCGGGUUUGCAAGUCGAUUGUGAAAUCCCAGGGCUUAACCCUGGAAUUGCAGUCGAAACUGCAAGUCUUGAAUGUCUGAGAGGGUGGGAGAAUUCCUGGUGUAGUAGUGAAAUACGUAGAUAUCAGGAGGAAUACCGGCGGCGAAGGCGCCUACCUGGCAGUACAUUGACGCUGAGGCGCGAAAGCGUGGGGAGCAAACAGG
rnacentral:rRNA from 1 species